UACGUAGGGUGCGAGCGUUGUCCGGAAUUACUGGGCGUAAAGCGCGCGUAGGCGGUCUGUUAUGUCGGAUGUGAAAGCCCUUGGCUUAACUGAGGAAGUGCAUCCGAAACUGGCAGGCUAGAGUACUAAAGAGGGUCGCGGAAUUCCCGGUGUAGAGGUGAAAUUCGGUAGAUAUACGGGAGGAACACCGGUGGGCGAAGGCGGCGACCUGGGUAGAUACUGACGCUGA
rnacentral:rRNA from 1 species